GAUAUAGUUUUUUUUUUUUUUUAACCAAUGCUUAUACACAACAUUCUGGUCCACACUAGUACCAGAUGGUGGAGGUAAUGCACCAAAAAGUUGUUUGCCAACCGCCAAUAAACCUUAGUCGAAGAAGAAGACGUCAAGAAGAUCGAGGCAGACGGACUGUACGCUGUUAAAACUUCACUAAGAUUGGUGUUGGACCGGCGAACACUUUAGGCCUAUUAUCAUUCAGAGGACUUGUUAACACGAAGAAAAUGGUCCAGAGGUUCCACCUGAGAGCCGGGACUGUCAAACAGUAAGAGACAACGAAAAGGGGGGAACUGUCUUUAAGCUGUGGAGUCAGAUGGAGGGCUCGCAUUUACCUCAAAAACGGCAUUGCAGAAGACUCGAACAACUACAACCAACUCAAGCACACAAUGGUGACACACAUUUGUAAGACCUUUCCCUAUGAUAGAAAAUUUCCCUGUGGUAAUUAUUCAGAUUCUUCUCAUUCUCAUUGUGUAGCACUGUUUUAAGCUUGUUGAAUAUUAUGUACAGUAAGCACUAGAAGUAGAGACUUAUACUACUUGGGGUAGUGUUUUAAAUUAACUUUAAUUUUGCUUUUGAUGCAAAAAUUAUCAAAAGAAAAGAUGUAGUGUAGUAAAAGAUGUUUUGUGUAGUAAUUCAAUUGUUUUAAUAUGAAUAUUGUUUUAAUAGUGUUCAGGACAGUAAUUGUCUGUACAUCUAAAUCAGUUCUUUAAACUUUUUGUUGUCUAAGACCUUCGUAUUAUACCUUAAGAAAAAAAAAGAUAUUUAAUUAUGUAUUAUGUACCCAGACAGCAACAUAGUUCUGGCCCAGAUCCAGCCCACAUCUGGCCCUUGUGAAAUCCAUGCGGGCCAGUUGUGGGCCGGAUCUGGGCCGACACUCCUUGCUGUCUGGGUAAGAUGCUUGUAAUCAUUGCUUUAAAGGUAUUUAUCACUUCUACUUAAAUGGUCAUUAUCUACUUGUAUGAUUUGUAUUAUCUGGGAACUGUACAAAUACUGUGGCAUAUGGACAUUACUCUUUUUAUUUGUAACUUUUAAAUGCAAUACUCUUUUUAAAUGCAUUUUCUGUAAAGCUGCAUUGGAAUAUGUAUUGUGA